CAGACGCAGCAGGAAUUGGCCAGGAGUAUAACUAGAGAACUAACAAAAGAGUGAAGACGGUGUGCAGAGUGAAGGUACAGGCAGAAACGCUUCACAGUUCGUGUAUUCCAAGAACAGAGAUGCUCCGCCAGCUCACUCUUCAACCUUGUUCCCAGCAGCUGCCAGUGCUGCAUAUAGAGAGGACACAGGGCUCCAGGGAGGUGGAGGGGCUUGCCUGAGAUCAUAAUGCAAGUUAUUAAUGGAAGCUAGUAGAAAAUUAAUGUAAGACAUGCUGGAGCAAAACAGGAGCAAAAAGCACUGAAGCUUGCAGAGGCCACUUCCACCUAGUGAAGUCCCCGCAUGCAAGAUUGCCACCCAGAAACAGAGAGAGCCAUGGGGCGCUCUACUUGGGCAUCCUGAAAUAAUCCCA
ensembl:lncRNA